GCUGGUGCUUCAUAUAGAUGACAGGGAAUCCUGGGCGGUAGUGGCGUGAUUGCAAGACGUUAUUACCGUUUACAUA
rnacentral:sRNA from 1 species